UGGGGAGUGGUCUAAUGGCAGGACAGCUGACUCUGGAUCAGUUUAUGGGGGUUCGAAUCCUCCCUCCCCAGCCA
rnacentral:tRNA from 1 species